CUGAGUACGGCGGAACACGUGAAAUUCCGUCGGAAUCCGGGAGGACCAUCUCCCAAGGCUAAAUACUCCCUAGUGACCGAUAGUGAACCAGUACCGUGAGGGAAAGGUGAAAAGCACCCCGGAAGGGGAGUGAAACAGUUCCUGAAACCGUGUGCCUACAAGUAGUUAGAGCCCGUUAAUGGGUGAUAGCGUGCCUUUUGUAGAAUGAACCGGCGAGUUACGAUUUGUUGCAAGGUUAAGCGGAAAAAGCGGAGCCGUAGCGAAAGCGAGUCUGAAUAGGGCGCAUAAGUAACAGGUCGUAGACCCGAAACCAGGUGAUCUACCCAUGUCCAGGAUGAAGGUAAGGUAAUACUUACUGGAGGUCCGAACCCACGCACGUUGAAAAGUGCGGGGAUGAGGUGUGGGUAGCGGAGAAAUUCCAAUCGAACUUGGAGAUAGCUGGUUCUCUCCGAAAUAGCUUUAGGGCUAGCCUCGAGGUAAAGAGUCAUGGAGGUAGAGCACUGUUUGGACUAGGGGCCCUUCUCGGGUUACCGAAUUCAGAUAAACUCCGAAUGCCAUGUACUUAUACUCGGGAGUCAGACUGCGAGUGAUAAGAUCCGUAGUCGAAAGGGAAACAGCCCAGACCACCAGUUAAGGUCCCCAAAUAUAUGUUAAGUGGAAAAGGAUGUGGGGUUGCUUAGACAACCAGGAUGUUGGCUUAGAAGCAGCCACCAUUGAAAGAGUGCGUAAUAGCUCACUGGUCGAGUGACCCCGCGCCGAAAAUGUACCGGGGCUAAACAUAUUACCGAAACUGUGGAUGAACCUCUUUAGAGGUUCGUGGUAGGAGAGCGUUCUAAGGGCGGUGAAGUCAGAUCGGAAGGACUGGUGGAGCGCUUAGAAGUGAGAAUGCCGGUAUGAGUAGCGAAAGAAGGGUGAGAAUCCCUUCCACCGAAUAUCUAAGGUUUCCUGAGGAAGGCUCGUCCGCUCAGGGUUAGUCGGGACCUAAGCCGAGGCCGAUAGGCGUAGGCGAUGGACAACAGGUAGAGAUUCCUGUACCAGUGCUAAUUGUUUAACCGAUGGGGUGACACAGAAGGAUAGGGAAUCGCACGAAUGGAAAUGUGCGUCCAAGCAGUGAGUGUGAGAAGUAGGCAAAUCCGCUUCUCGCGAAGCAUGAGCUGUGAUGGGGAAGGAAAUUAAGUACGGAAGUUCCUGAUUUCACGCUGUCAAGAAAAGCCUCUAGGAAGAGUAGUACUGCCCGUACCGCAAACCGACACAGGUAGAUGAGGAGAGAAUCCUAAGGUGAGCGAGAGAACUCUCGUUAAGGAACUCGGCAAAAUGACCCCGUAACUUCGGGAGAAGGGGUGCUCUAUUAGGGUGCAAGCCCGAGAGAGCCGCAGUGAAUAGGCCCAGGCGACUGUUUAGCAAAAACACAGGUCUCUGCAAAACCGUAAGGUGACGUAUAGGGGCUGACGCCUGCCCGGUGCUGGAAGGUUAAGAGGAGUGCUUAGCUUCGGCGAAGGUACGAAUUGAAGCCCCAGUAAACGGCGGCCGUAACUAUAACGGUCCUAAGGUAGCGAAAUUCCUUGUCGGGUAAGUUCCGACCCGCACGAAAGGCGCAACGAUCUGGGCACUGUCUCAACGAGAGACUCGGUGAAAUUAUAGUACCUGUGAAGAUGCAGGUUACCCGCGACAGGACGGAAAGACCCCGUGGAGCUUUACUGCAACCUGAUAUGGAAUGUUUGUACCGCUUGUACAGGAUAGGUAGGAGCCGAAGAGACGUGUGCGCUAGCAUACGAGGAGGCAAUGGUGGGAUACUACCCUGGCUGUAUGACCAUUCUAACCCGCCACGCUUAGCGCGUGGGGAGACAGUGUCAGGUGGGCAGUUUGACUGGGGCGGUCGCCUCCUAAAGAGUAACGGAGGCGCCCAAAGGUUCCCUCAGAAUGGAUGGAAAUCAUUCGCAGAGUGUAAAGGCACAAGGGAGCUUGACUGCGAGACUGACAAGUCGAGCAGGGACGAAAGUCGGGCUUAGUGAUCCGGUGGUUCCGCAUGGAAGGGCCAUCGCUCAACGGAUAAAAGCUACCCCGGGGAUAACAGGCUUAUCUCCCCCAAGAGUCCACAUCGACGGGGAGGUUUGGCACCUCGAUGUCGGCUCGUCGCAUCCUGGGGCUGUAGUCGGUCCCAAGGGUUGGGCUGUUCGCCCAUUAAAGCGGCACGCGAGCUGGGUUCAGAACGUCGUGAGACAGUUCGGUCCCUAUCCGUCGCGGGCGCAGGAAAUUUGAGAGGAGCUGUCCUUAGUACGAGAGGACCGGGAUGGACACACCGCUGGUGUACCAGUUGUUCCGCCAGGAGCAUCGCUGGGUAGCUAUGUGUGGCAGGGAUAAACGCUGAAAGCAUCUAAGCGUGAAGCCCCCCUCAAGAUGAGAUUUCCCAUUUCUUCGGAAAGUAAGAUCCCUGAAAGAUGAUCAGGUAGAUAGGUUUGGAGUGGAAGUGUAGCGAUACAUGGAGCGGACAAAUACUAAUCGAUCGAGGACUUAACCAAAA
rnacentral:rRNA from 1 species